rnacentral:rRNA from 1 species
UACGGAGGAUGCGAGCGUUAUCCGGAUUUAUUGGGUUUAAAGGGUGCGUAGGCGGAUCGUUAAGUCAGUGGUCAAAUUGAGGGGCUCAACCCCUUCCCGCCAUUGAAACUGGCGAUCUUGAGUGGAAGAGAAGUAUGCGGAAUGCGUGGUGUAGCGGUGAAAUGCAUAGAUAUCACACAGAACCCCGAUUGCGAAGGCAGCCUUCCGGCGCCCUACUGACGCUGAGGCACGAAAGUGCGGGCAUCGAACAGG